rnacentral:rRNA from 1 species
UACGAAGGGGGCUAGCGUUGUUCGGAUUUACUGGGCGUAAAGCGCACGUAGGCGGAUCUUUAAGUCAGAGGUGAAAUCCCAAGGCUCAACCUUGGAACUGCCUUUGAUACUGGGGAUCUUGAGUCCGGGAGAGGUGAGUGGAACUGCGAGUGUAGAGGUGAAAUUCGUAGAUAUUCGCAAGAACACCAGUGGCGAAGGCGGCUCACUGGCCCGGUACUGACGCUGAGGUGACGAAAGGCGUGGGGAGCAAACAGG